rnacentral:misc_RNA from 1 species
CCAAUAGCGUAUAUUAAAGUUGCUGCAGUUAAAAAGCUCGUAGUUGAAUUUCGGGACCAUCAUGUCGGUCGUGCCUCGGUACGUACUGGCAUUGUUGGUUUCUCCCUUCUGACGAACCAUGAUGUCAUUUAUUUGGUGUUGUGGGGAAUCAGGACUGUUACUUUGAAAAAAUUAGAGUGUUUAAAGCAGGCUCACGCUUGAAUACAUUAGCAUGGAAUAAUGAAAUAGGACGUUUGAUUCUAUUUUGUUGGUUUCUAGGAUCGACGUAAUGAUUAAUAGGGAUAGUUGGGGGCAUUAGUAUUCAAUUGUCAGAGGUGAAAUUCUUGGAUUUAUUGAAGACUAACUACUGCGAAAGCAUUUGCCAAGGAUGUUUUCAUUAAUCAAGAACGAAAGUUAGGGGAUCGAAGACGAUCAGAUACCGUCGUAGUCUUAACCAUAAACUAUGCCGACUAGGGAUCGGAUGAUGUUAAUUUUUUAAUGACUCAUUCGGCGCCUUACGGGAAACCAAAGUGUUUGGGUC